UCCCUGGUGGCUCAGACAGUAAAAGCAUCUACCUACAAUGUGGGGAUACCCAGGUUCGAUUCCUGGGCUGGGAA
rnacentral:tRNA from 1 species